AGUGAACGCUGGCGGUAGGCCUAACACAUGCAAGUCGAACGGCAGCACAGUAAGAGCUUGCUCUUACGGGUGGCGAGUGGCGGACGGGUGAGGAAUACAUCGGAAUCUACUUUUUCGUGGGGGAGAACGUGGGGAAACUUACCCUAUAACCCCUGAGGACGAACGGGGGAAAGCAGGGGACCUCCGGACCUUGGCCGAUUGAAGGAGCGAAUGUCGGAUUGGCUAGUUGGCGGGGUAAAGGCCCACCAAGGCGACGAUCCGUAGCUGGUCUGAGAGGAUGAUCAGCCACACUGGAACUGAGACACGGUCCAGACUCCUACGGGAGGCAGCAGUGGGGAAUAUUGGACAAUGGGCGCAAGCCUGAUCCAGCCAUACCGCGUGGGUGAAGAAGGCCUUCGGGUUGUAAAGCCCUUUUGUUGGGAAAGAAAAGCAGCAGGUUAAUACCCCGCUGUUCUGACGGUACCCAAAGAAUAAGCACCGGCUAACUUCGUG
rnacentral:rRNA from 1 species